UGCCCCAUGGCUGAGUUGGUUACAGCGUCCGACUGUUAUCGCUAAUCGCGUAAAGGAUGUACUUACUUCAUCGGAAGGUCGAGAGUUCGAGCCUCUCUGGGGCAG